GAUGAACGCUGGCGGCGUGCCUAAUACGUGCAAGUCGAGCGAAUGGAUUAAGAGCUUGCUCUUAUGAAGUUAGCGGCGGACGGGUGAGUAACACGUGGGUAACCUGCCCAUAAGACUGGGAUAACCCCGGGAAACCGGGGCUAAUACCGGAUAACAUUUUGAACCGCAUGGUUCGAAAUUGAAAGGCGGCUUCGGCUGUCACUUAUGGAUGGACCCGCGUCGCAUUAGCUAGUUGGUGAGGUAACGGCUCACCAAGGCAACGAUGCGUAGCCCACCUGGGAGGGUGAUCGGCCACACUGGGACUGAGACACGGCCCAGACUCCUACGGGAGGCAGCAGUAGGGAAUCUUCCGCAAUGGACGAAAGUCUGACGGAGCAACGCCGCGUGAGUGAUGAAGGCUUUCGGGUCGUAAAACUCUGUUGUUAGGGAAGAACAAGUGCUAGUUGAAUAAGCUGGCACCUUGACGGUACCUAACCAGAAAGCCACGGCUAACUACGUGCCAGCCGCCGCGGUAA
rnacentral:rRNA from 1 species